rnacentral:lncRNA from 1 species
GAAUAGGAUUUAUAUUUUUCGCAUUUUUCUAUUUUUGGAUUGUAAUAAUUGGACUGAACACUAUAAUUUUGGAUUUGUUUGUUUGUUUAUUUGAUUGAUUGGUUUGUAUGUUUUUGUGUGGUUUAUACACUCUUAGCGUCGAAUUAGCCGAUAUGUUCCACCAAGCGACCGUGGUCGAACCACGGGAUCGAGGGGUGCCUAACACCUUUCCUUCGGUCAACAGAAUUUCUUAGCUAGAAUCUCUGUUCGCAAACCAGUUUAAACAGUCAAAUGGUUUUGAAAAGGAUUUUCCAAUGGUGACUUGGCACACCAGAUUAUGCGAAGUGGCAACUCUGAUUUCAAAUGUAAAAACAAUCCUUCUUUGAAACAAAUCGUUUUCUUUUUUCACUUAAUAAUAAAAACCCUUUUGAAUCCAAUAUAAAAUCUAAUCUUUUGGAGUUAAAAAAGGGGUGUGACAAUCUUGUUUAGAGUUUGUGUUGUAAUCUUGUGUUCUUCUUCUUGUUGUUGAAUCCGAAUCUUAUAGUCAUUGUGUUCACCUUCUUUUUUUUUGUGUUGCUGCUAAUUUGGUGUUGAAAACACAGCUCUUUAUCUCAUUAUUGUGUUGUAGUAGCGAAUCCGAGAGUGGUCUCCAUCUUGUUCCUCGAAUCCUUAAGAUUAGUGGACUAUUUUGAAGUGUGUUUGGACUAUUUUUUGCCCCAUUUCGUGAGUUCCUUGGGCUUUUUCGUAUCAUUUGGUAUCAAAGCCGAGUUUGAUUUUGUUCCUACGAAAUCAAUCUUGGGUUUGUUACUUAGAAAAUCAAACAAAAAACCUGAAAACUAAAAACUGAAAAAAAAAUCUAGAAAAGUGGAAAUUUGUCCACUUUUCUUUCUUGGCCAAAAACUGUGUUCUUGUUGUCUUGGCCGAGAUUUGUUUGUUGUGUGUCUAGAUCUAGUCGUGUUCUUGUUUGUUUUGUUAUUUCUAGUGUUAGUCUUCUUGUUCACUAACACUUUUGAGUCUAGAUCUAAACUUGAGCUUAAACUUGUUGAAAGUUGUUGUUGUGAACAAAUUAAUGCCCAUGUAUUGAUGUUGUUGUUCUUGGCCGUGUGGUGACCUUUCUUGUGAACUUGUGCAGGACGUUGUUGGUGUUGUUAUUGUUCUUGAAAAGUUUUUAUAUUCUUGUUGUUCAUCAUAAUCUUCACCCCUUGUUAAGACCAAAACACCACACUAAAGUACUUGGUCGUUUGUUGGAAGUUUGUAGUUGACCUUGUUGUUGUGGAAUUGUUGUUGUUCUUGAGAGAUUGUUGUUGAUUUUCUUGGUGAUUGUUGAAGUGUUCUUGAUGUUCUUCCAAACCUUCAUACCUUGUUAAAAUAAAGUGAAAGUUAGAUCCCAAAAGGUGAAGGAAAAGUGUGACAAAUUUGUUAGUCUUGAAAGACUUGCCAUCACUCACUAAUUAGUCAAUCACAUUUCAACCACUUUCCCAUAAAACAAGGAUCCAUGUUUUAAGGAGGAGUACAAGUCUAGUCCAAGAUUUUUGAGUCUUGAAAGUUGAAUUGAAAAAGCAACUCCAAAGACUAGUUUGUGUUUCCCUUCAUUGAACAAGUUACACCAAAGUCAAAAUUGUAAAAGUUGAUCAAGACUUCCCAAUUUGGAAAAUAAAAUUGUUGAGAACUGAGGCCAAUCACGGAUUGCCACAAUCACAAAUUAAUGUUCACCAACAAAUUUUAAGCUCAAUUUUUGAUCUUUUAGUUUCAUUUUGUGUCUUUAGUUUCGUUUGUUGAUUCUAAAUGUAAUUUACAAGCUAGUACUAGAUUGUGAGUUAGUUUUGAAACCGUUCUUCGUGUUAACUUUGCUUUGUGUGUUUUAAUUCUUUGAGUCAUUGUAAUACGUCUUUGUGUAUUCCUUACUCCUUGGAGUCCUUCUCAACAUUAGAUUUACCUCUCAACAUCACUCGGAGUACAAGCAAGCUUGCAACACUUGUGAGAUUGAGUGUGAGGAUCCAAGAGUCAAGAAAUAAAAAGAAAGAGUGGGGAUGUUUUUGUAGAACUAAUGUGUUUUCUGUUUUUGUAGGUAACUCCUUUGCCAUAAUGGACACCAUUUUGGCCCUCGUUGAUGCUAUGUCCAGAGACCUUUCUAGGGCAAAUCUGGGUCUUGAAAACAUUUACUCGGAUGUGGUAACUAUGGUUGAGAGGUUGGAUCGAAUGGGGAGACGAGGGAACUCUCGUGUUUUUACUCCCGAAACUUUACCUACAAAAGCCAAUCCUCCAAGUUCACCACAAAAUGUCAUAAGCCAAGCUACAAUUUACCCACAAAAUCGAGAACAAGGUAGGCCCCUUCCCCCGCUAGUUGAUCAAGUCCAACAAGAAGGACUUGUAAACCAAUUUCCUCCCAUCCAAGCUCCACAACCGAAGCUCCACAUUACCAAAGAAGUCCACUUUACCAAAUCAAUCCUUUCAAUCUAAACUCCACUUUACCAAAGCCUACAUAUCCAAGAAGAGAAACAUGGUAGAGAGGUACAUGAAGGAUAUGGAGCCUACGACAAUGCUUAUAUGAUGGAGGGAAACUUGAGUCAGAUAAGAUUGAAGCCAAAACUCAAGAUGGAGAGGAAGCCGAGGUUCAAAAUGAAAAUAUUAGCCACGAAUUGUGUUUGUGUUACUCUCGGGUCCAUCUUGUUGGUGGACUAUUUUUGGAGUCAUUUUUUAUAUGUCCCUUGUUGUUAUUGAGCUCUUGGGCUCUUCAUGUUUUUACGGACUAUUUUUUAGUGGACUCUUUGAAGUGGCCAAUUGAACGAGGUGAAGCCGUGAAUUUAUGGACAAAUUCCUCUCAAGAUGGAGAGGAUGAUACGAGAAUAAUUACGGAUAUGGACUUGUGAGUGUGUAAGUUGGGGCCAAGACUUGGUGUGGCAAAUGAAGUAUAAAGGACUUAAAAACACCAAAAUCAGCCCAUGACUUAAACUUGAUGAGAGCUCAUUCAUUGAAGGGCCUUUUGGUCAUUUAACUUCCAUUUUGUUAUAGCUAUUUAAGGAACAUGCUAGGGUUCCAUUCAGCAGAUUUUGUGUAAUGACCCUUACGGUCAUUUUACUGUAUUUUCAUAUAAUUGUAGUACUAUCUAAAUAUAUGUCGUGGAUUAUUUAAUUUAAUUUGGUAUUUUGUAAAAAUAUAAUUUAGUACCCUUCUAAAAUAUUUUCGAUAUUUGUAAAAUUCUUUAAGUCAUGAGAUAUUUAUCUCACUUUAUAAUAGGUUUUUAUGAUUUGUUAAUAUUUUAAGUGGAGAUAGUAAAUUUAAAAAAAAAAUAUUAAAAUACUAUUAUUAUAUAAUAGAGGUUUUGUUAGAAAUAAUUUUCUAUUAAUUAUGGUAUAUCCAAAAUAUUAUAAUUAUUUUACCACAAAUUUAUACAAUAUUCGAUUAUGUAUACAAUGUAGACAAAUUAUUAGAAGUGUACACGUGGGAAUGAAUUGUGGAAAGAAGCAUGGCAGCCAUAUGUUUGUCCAUGAUUUGGCCAAUUGGAAAGGGCUACCUUUUUAUAUAUAUACNNNNNNNNNNNNNNNNNNNNNNNNNNNNNNNNNNNNNNNNNNNNNNNNNNNNNNNNNNNNNNNNNNNNNNNNNNNNNNNNNNNNNNNNNNNNNNNNNNNNNNNNNNNNNNNNNNNNNNNNUAUUAUAUAUAUAUAUAUAUAUAUAUAUAUAUAUACCUUUAGUCCUUUUUUGACUAGAAAGAAAGAAAAAAGAAAACUUUCCAACUACUUACAUCUUUCUCAUUUCCUUGAAAAUAUUUGCAUCUGCCAUAUUAAAGUGAACCAUUCCCUUACCGUUAGCUUUCUGUUUUUCCAUAUCUGAACCUUCGUUUAUUUUAUUUUUUUUAAAUUAGUUAGGUUUCUUGUUUAGCCUUGCAAAAUUGCUUAUAAAUUACGAGGCGUUGUGGAAAACAAUUUCUUUAAUGUUGGUCAAAUUUGGGUUCUAGUGAGAUAGUAUUCGGAGGUUUUGCGGAAAGAUAUUAUAACUUUGGCGUCCAGGUAGGCUAGGUUUUUCCGAUCUUUAGAUUGAACUUAAUUACUAAAAAUGUAAACUAUUAUGUUAGCCUUGGAUAAAUUCUUGUAGAUGUGCAUUUUUUAUAUAUAUAAACUGUCUUAUUUAUCCGGAUUAGGACCCCAUUCUAGAAAAUUUUUGAAAAAUUAUCUUUUAAUAUAAUAUAGCAUCUAUCACUUUGAGACGUAAAAAUACUUUUUAUUUGAAAGUAUAGUUGUUCAUAUAUACAAUUGCUUCUCUUAUUCAUCUUUCAAUAUACCUUUAGAAAUAGUUAUAUGAAACAUGUAUACAUAUAUAAUUAUUUGAAAAGUAUAUAUGUAUAAGAGUAUAUAAUAAGCAUAGGAUAAUAUAGGCAUAUAAUAUAUUAAUUAAAUUGCGAAACCUUGAAUUUAUUCCUAGUUAAUUAAGAUUAACGGAUGAUUGUUUAGACAUUGACAUUGUUAUGAUAUGGUAUGAAUUUUAUUACUUCCGAUGGUUAUUGUUACUAUGAGUUUCAGUUCGAGUCCGGCAAAUGAUUAUUAUGGUUACUAUGAGUUUCGGUUCGAGUCCGGCAAUUGACUAUUAUGGUUACUAUAAGUUCCGGUUCGAGUCCGGCAAUUGACUAUUAUGGUUACUAUGAGUUUCGGUUCGAGUUCGGCAUUUGAUUAUUAUGGGUACUAUGAAUUCCGGUUCAAGUCCGGUGCACAUCUAGAUAACUAUAAUGAUUUAUUGGGAUCACUGCAGUUUUAGAUUAUUAUGUUUAUUUUUGUUACUUAGGUGUCCCACCGGCUUAUGGGGGUACGGUUGGGUUAAUUGUCUUCUUCAGUGUGCCUAGCGGGCUUAUGGGGGCUCAGUUAGGUUAUUUUGUGUGCCUAGCGGGCCUAUGGGGGCCCAAUUAGAUUAUGUUUGAUUUAUCUGUUAUUACUGCAUUAUUUAUUUUUUGGUAUCGCAUAAGUUUAUUUCUUUACAGACAUUGCGUAGUUUGGUAGUUCUUUACCUUUGCAUCCCUAUCUACUAAUGACUCAGAUUACGCCCUCGCAUUGUAGUUAGACCUUUUCUGUAUAAAGCUCAGUCGGCCGAUGAUGUCUACUGAGUACCCGUGGUUUUUUUGGUACUCAUACUACACUUUUGCAUCUUUUUCUGAUGCAGAUCAGGGUAAUAGCAGUCGAUGUUAACGUGGUUCCUACCUUCCAUCACUGAUUCAAAGCAGGGUGAGCUUGCUAUUAUCUGAGGCUGAUCCUCUUCUAUGUAUUCCAGUUAGUCUUUUGCUCUCGAGACUAUUUGUUUAUAUUGUGUACAUUUUAUAUUUUUGUCUAGUACUCUAGGUACCUUUUAGUAAUGGCUCUAGUACUGACCUUAUCAGGUCUUGGGAGGGACUCAUUGUAUAGUUGGUCUUUUUUUUUCUCAUUUCCUUUUGAUAUAAUAUAUUACUCUUACUUAGUUUUUACUUAUUAUUAUUAUACAUGAUCCUUUAUUUGGUCUCUAUCUGUUAGCCCGUUACUUAUCAUUUUGGAUUAUGGCUUGGCUUUCCUACUGGUGGGUUAAAGUAGGCACCAUCAUGUCUUGAGAAAUCGAGUCAUGACAUUUUGAUGAUAUUUGUGAGUGUAGAACACUUUUAACAAGCUCUCUCUAGAUGAAGGAGUGAACAAACCAAAACUAGGGCACUAUACAAGGGUGGAAUCACUUGUAUGUUGUAUUUGCUUGGAAACAUUGAUGCUUGGGAGGUGAAAUCCGAACUUGUAUCCUCGUAAGAGAUAGGUUUAUUGUUGUGGGUAACCUUAAGGGUCCAAUAUUGUCCAUUUUUGGGUUCUUAAGAUUAUUCCUUCAUGUGGUCUAUCUAUAUAUCCUUUUACUUUCAUUGUAAUCUUGUUUAAAGUUUGUGUUGUAAUCUUGUGUUCUUCUUCUUGUUGUUGAAUUUGAAUCUUGUAGUCAUUGUGUUCACCUUCUUCUUUUUGUGUUUCUGCUAAUUUGGUGUUGAAAACAUAGCUCUUUAUCUCACUAUUGUGUUGUAGUAGCGAAUCCGAGAGUGGUCUCCAUCUUGGUCCUCGAAUCCUUAAGAUUAGUGGACUAUUUUGAAGUGUGUUUGGACUAUUUUUUGCCCCAUUUCGUGAGUUCCUUGGGCUGUCCUGUAUCACUGAUGCUAAGUGCACCGAGUGCAACCAACUCGGUCAUGAAGCAGUGAUAUGUACAAGAGCAAUGGAGAUAUAAUACCUUUGAGGGCAAAAUCGGACAUGCUUUGAGAAUUUGAAACAACUUCCAUAUUAAUAUUGAUCUUGACUUCAAUCGGAUGAGGAUUCUGGAGGUUGACAACUAUAACAUGACCUGAACUCAAGCAUUUGAUUCCUUUCCAACUGCAACAAUUUUCGCCUUGCCAUGAAGAUAACCAAUUAGAUGGAUCAGUCAGCAAGGAUUUGUUAGGUUUUUUGCCUUGAUUUUCUUACUAUAUUUAAGUUUUAUUUUUUCUUAGUAGGAAAAUAAAAAUUACCAUAAUUACUUUUACUUUUCCUGAAAGAAAAAAAUAUAAUUCUUUUCCAUAUUUGGCUAACCUAAGACGACAUAGGUGAAAUUACUAAUAAAGACCCUAAUACCAAAAACAACUUGACUUCGACUUAAAGUAGACACCACCCUGCAAUGACAGACACAUAAAAAACUCAAACUGAAUAAAGAUAAGAAACACUCUUUCCGACUGGUGCUCUGCGUGAUGACCCUGGCUGAGAUGGACCUGCCUGUGAAGUUCUCUUUCUCCCAUUUAAACUUUGUAGCAUAUCCUGUAAAGACACCCUGAUACUGGGGAAGAAGCUUCGGGCCCGUAUUCCUGCCUCAUGAGGAGUGCACUUGGAAAGAUUAUUCUGACACCUCUCUACCGUCUUGAACAAAUCUGCUAACUGAACUCUCAGUGUUUCCACUUUGUACCCUUCACUUUCAUCCUGAUGGUCGUCUACUAUACAUUCUUCCUGUAUUCUCUCUCUAAGCUGUGCUGUAAGGGUUGACUGAUACCCCGAGGGAUAGAUUGAAGCCAAAUCCCAUAUCCCUAAGUGUACCUUGUAUUAUCCAAACUUUCUUUGAGUGUGUCCACACCUAGCUUUGUUGCAUGCUUCCAAAACUGCUCGUACUUGCUCUCACCUAAGGCUUGGUCCUUGAAGUACUCAAUAUCCUUCAGAAGAUCCACUGCUGGUGGCACGUCCUGCAGCCUACCCAACUGGCGCAUUACCCUAGAAGGACUGUAUGGUCUAGUGCAAUUGAGCCCUAACAUAACUAAAGGGAACUNNNNNNNNNNNNNNNNNNNNNNNNNNNNNNNNNNNNNNNNNNNNNNNNNNNNNNNNNNNNNNNNNNNNNNNNNNNNNNNNNNNNNNNNNNNNNNNNNNNNNNNNNNNNNNNNNNNUCUUGACUCAAGAAAUUCAAUCCAAGUGUCGACUCCCACGGGUAACGAGAAUUUAUCCAAAUGCAACCUGGAGUCCAUGACUUUCACUUGAUUGGGAAUACAAUGAUCUAACACGUCUGGUCUAACUAAAGAAGGCGCAUGCAAAUGCUCCAUCAUCCAUAACUGCAAUAUCAGGUAACUGCCCUCAAAAAAUCUCCUUCCCCCCUUUACUUCGGUUAAAGCCUUAUAUAUUUCUGUUAAGAUCAUGGGUAUGAGAGUGAACCUGCCCUUUUGAUUAGUGCCUUUAUCGUUUUGAUCCUUAUGAAAUAGGGCCAUCACCACAAAUUGCAAACGGGUAUUAAUACGUCUUUCUUCUAGUGGAAACAUUAAAGUACCUAACAAAGCGAGGGUGAAGACUUUAAGACGCUUUCUCUCCCACUUCUCCUUAGUCACAUGAAAUUCAUCCCAAAGGCAAUCAAAAUCUUCCGAGGGCCCGAAUCUAGCGAACAAAAAAUCUAAGGAAACCACAAGACUGCAAAAAUUUCACGCCAGUGUGAUUUCGUGCUCAGAUCAUAUCCUUCUCGAUAUAGGGCAAAUGCAAUAAACUAGAUAUUUCUGCCAAGGUAGGAGUCAUUUCACAUUCCCCAAACUUGAACACCAAACUACUUGGAUCCCAAAAGGUCAACAAAACCUCUAUUAAAUCUGGACGAGGGGUAAUAUGCAGAAGUUCCGUAAGAUCAUCUAAUAUUUUAAUCAGUUUCUGCUGAUCAACAUAGUUAAAAAUUUCCCACCACUUGAUUAACUUUUUGGGCACCUUGAAAACCAUCAAAACUCUAGACUUGGUGGACAAAUCCAUCAUGUAAUAAAACACAAGACGUUAUCUCAAAAAUUCGACAAGAGUAGAAGAUUCCCAACCCUUGGGAUUUUUGACGCAAACAUAUGUCGAUGGGACAGACCACAUUCAUAACUCCAAUUUGCCGAACAGAAGCACUUAGCGAGGUCAGUCCACUUGGCUAACAACUCUAGAUUAUGGGGCAAGAGACCUAGGCUAAUAAUAAGACAAAGGCCAACACAAAGAUUACAGUGCCCCCUAAGGGUUGCCUACGUAUCCCAACCCGAGGGAAGGGAAUCAGGUGUGCGUAGUUCAUCCAGAUUGCACAAUUAACGAUUAACUAAUAAAUUGACCCUAACUUAAGAGACACUAACCAAAAACAAACUUAAAAAAACUUUUGAAUUUUCAGCUAGACACUUUAACUAAGACUGACACCACUAAUUAUGAAGAAAAAAAAUCUUUUUUGUAUUUUUAUUUUUGACAAAUAAGUAGAAAAGGCAAACAAAACUCUUUUUUUUUUUUUGAAUUUACGGUACUUUGAGAAGACAAAUGUAAAACGUAAAAAAAAAUCUUUUUGAGUUUUGGAUCGUGAAGAACAAAAGCCAUAAAGAAUUCUAAAAUAAACUACGACAUUCCUUUUGAUUCAUCUUUUUCGACUCACCUUUUUUCUAUAUAUUUUUUUUUAAAUCAGUCCGUCAAAUGACCACGUUACCCUUAAAAAUGCAACAGUUAGCACGUAGGGAUGCUUUAGAGGUGAGUCUACUACAAAGGGCCACGUGGGUCUCGCUAGGUCUCCGUAUGAUGCACAUAAGCAUGACCUAAAGGCUGACCUACGUUGUGGUUCACUAACAAGGCUGUUCGGGGGAGCGUAUGGUCGAUAGUGGUUGCUUUGCUUUCCAUCUACUUCAUAACACCGACGGCUCCCCCCUAAAAUAAGGGUGACUCAACUAGAGGUUGUGUACAACACGUGUAAUACGGACUUGUUACAGAAAGAGGGCCGGGGGGUGGACUCAUGAUGACAGAUAUAAAGCGGUAACACAUAGGAUAAAUAUUAUAAACAAAGAGCACAAAAACGCACAAAAGUGAAAAUAACAUCAACAAUAAUCACAAACAAUGCUUAUACAUUUGUAAUGCCAAACAAAGCCGAUACGACUCAAAAAUAAGCCCGCAUUCUCAUACUGGUCUCCCCAGCAGAGUUGCCAGAGCUAUCACACCCCCUUUUUCGACUCCAAAAAGAAUGUUUAUAGUUUAAAGUUCGAAAGGGUUUUAUUAUUUAAGUGAAAAGAAAUGAAAAUUGUUUGUUUCGAAGAAGGAUUGUUUUUACAUUUUUUUUUUUGAAAUCAGAGUCGCCACUUGGCAUAAUCUGGUGUGCCAGGUCACCAUUAGAAAAUCCUUUUCAAAACCAUUUGAUUCUUUAAACUGGUUUGCGAACAGAGAUUCUGGCUAAGGAAUUCUGUUGACCGAGGGGAAGGUGUUAGGCACCUCUCGAUCCCGUGGUUCAACCACGGUCGCUUGGUAGAGUGUAUCGACUAUUUUUGGCACUAAGAAAUGUAUAAACCACACAAAAGCAUGCAAGAUAAUCAAACAAAACAAAACAAUCUGAAAUGUAAAGUCCAGUCCAAUUAUACAGUCCAAAAAUAGAAAAAUACGAAAAUAUAAAUCAUAUUCUAAGCUAAUCCUAAAACUACGCUCCCAUGCCUUACCCGAUGCCUCGGGCCUUGAUCACGGGCCUCCUCUGUGUACAUGAUACUUCGGGGCAUUCCCCGGUGAAUAAAUACAAUGUGUCUCGGGGCAUUCCCCGACUAAAUGAAUACAUUUUCUCAAUUUUUGUGCGUUAAAAUUGAAAGAACCAUUCAACAAAUAUUCACACGUUCACCAAAAUCAUAAUCCUCCAUUUUUCUACAAUUUACCUACCCAAACUUAGUAUUUGCCGACCCCUUUAACGAUCUAACACAUGAUACUAUCAAUGUCAAUACUAUCCAAAAAUGAAUAAAAACUAAUGAACGUUCAUCUUAUUCGAUUCUCAACUCUUCCCCCCCAAAUUUCUUUCUCAACAUGAUUAAACCAAUUCAAUACGCAAUCCACCAAUCAAGUCUUCAUAUUCAAAUCCCAAAUCAACCAACAUAAAAACAGAGAUUCAAACAUAUCAAAUAACAAAUCAUUCAUAUUCACAUAAAAAAAAUUUAAAAAAAAAAAGGAAGAUAGAAUUGGACCUCAAGUGUCGCUUUCAAUAUAUCGGAGAUAGAACCACGCCUGAGAACCUCAACUUCUAGCUCAAUUUUAUUCCGAACACUUAGCGAUGGAUUUGGAGCUCACGAACCAAGACCUCGAUUCAACGAAUUCAACAUGGACCCGACAACUCGAUAAAAUUCAUAAAAAACGAACAUACCCAAAAGACCAACGAUUCAAACUGAAAUUUAUGGACUGUUUUGACCUCGGAUUCUGCUACUUACCUGAGUUUCGGAAAGCUCAGAAAGCGCCGAAAGAUGAUAACAACCCAAUUUUAAGGUAACCGUGGUGUUUUCCGGAGAACAGCUCGGCGAAAAUGUUAACCUCGACUUCUCCCUCGCAGCUCUCUCUCCCUCUCGCAGCUCACUCUCCCUCUCUUGCAGCUCUCUCUCGCAAUUUUCAGUGUAUGGGUGGAACUCGUGAAUGGCCCAAAAUCCCCAUCCCCUUCUUUGUUUGUAUUCAAUGAAUAAGAGCCUGGAAUAUUGGAACCAAAAUAUGGUGUAUAUGUUCCAAAUCCGUGAUUUUAUUUGGUGAGAGGAGUGACGUGUGUUUGGUGAGGAUGAGUGAUGACGGAGAGUGUUUUUUGUGAGGGAAUCGUGAGUGGUCUGGCAAAAAUGGCGUCUUCUUUUCUUGAAGAUUAUGACGAUGUUUUUCCUUGUGGGCCCCCUGUGGAGAAGAAGCUGUGUAUGUAUAUGUGGCUGUGAGGGUGUUUUUGUGAAGAAGAAAGGAAGCCAAAAAUUUUUCCCUCUUUCUGUAUCCGAGCCCCCCUCCUUUUAUGAUCAGAAUCAUGACAAA